rnacentral:rRNA from 1 species
UACGGAGGGUGCGAGCGUUUGUCCGGAAUCAUUGGGCGUAAAGGGCGCGUAGGUGGCCUGCUAAGCGUGCGGUGAAAGUCGGGGGCUCAACCCCCGAUCGGCCGUGCGAACUGGGAGGCUUGAGCACUGUAGAGGCAGGCGGAAUUCCGGGUGUAGCGGUGGAAUGCGUAGAGAUCCGGAAGAACACCGGUGGCGAAGGCGACACGCUGGGCCGUACCUGACGCUAAAGCGCGACAGCAUGGGGAGCAAACGGG